rnacentral:rRNA from 1 species
AAACAUCGCCUCCUGCAGUAUAUAGGAGGUCCAGCCUGCCCAGUGACCAAGUUAAACGGCCGCGGUACCCUAACCGUGCGAAGGUAGCGCAAUCACUUGUUCUUUAAAUGAGGACUAGUAUGAAUGGCAUCACGAGGGUUACACUGUCUCCCACCUCUAAUCAGUGAAACUGAUCUCCCCGUGAAGAAGCGGGGAUAAAACUAUAAGACGAGAAGACCCCAUGGAGCUUCAAACCCAGCAUCAACCAUUAACAUUAAUACCACAUUAAAUAAAUGGACCUGACUGCUGGUUUUAGGUUGGGGUGACCGCGGAGCAUAACAAAACCUCCAUGAUGAACGACCUCCUCUCUAAUCCGAGAGCCACCACUCAAAGAAUCAAAAAAAUUGACAUUUAUUGACCCAAACUAUUUUGAUCAACGAACCAAGUUACCCUGGGGAUAACAGCGCAAUCCAUUUCAAGAGCCCCUAUCGACAAAUGGGUUUACGACCUCGAUGUUGGAUCAGGGUAUCCUAGUGGUGCAGCCGCUACUAAAGGUUCGUUUGUUCAACGAUUAAAACCCUACGUGAUCUGA